AUGAAGAAAAAUGUGAAGACCGAAAGACAUUCAGAAAAGAGCAGACAAAAGAGAAGUGAUAGUGAACAAGUGCUAGAAAUACAAGACAGAAACAAGAUUUGGGAAAAAUUUGGGAUAGAUGGAAUCUAUCAUUUGAUAAAUAGUUCUUUGCCUCAAGCUGGACCAAAUGGUUCCUCUUUUUUAGUUUUGACUUAAGCAUAUUAUGUAAGCAGUUGUCUUAAUAUUAUACCUGAUUGACAAAUUUCAUUCUUAACCCUUUCAGCAUAAUUUUUCCAAUUUAGUAUUAUGUUUUUCCCUUUAUUCUCUCAACUCAGAUUUUCCCACAAACUUUCACAUAGUGUUUUAUUAUUGAUAAUAGUAAUAAUAGUACACUAAUAUUGAUGUAUUCACCUUUUCAUAAUUUUCUUUAGCCUUUUUUCUUCUUAAAAAUAUAGAAACCUAUGAAAAUGAUCCCAGUCCUGCUUUCAAAUAUUGAGUUUCCUUGUUCCCCUUAAGGUUGUAAUUGUUUUAACAGUAUCAGACAAAUAUAUGCAUUUACAAUUCCAUUUGUACAAUUUACAUUUGUAAAUGUAAAUUGCAUUUACAAUUAGAUAGUCAUUAUUUCACAGAGUGAUAAUCACAGAUAAGGUAAAAACAUUGAAUAGAAGUUUAGAUUGUUUCAAAGAAAUAGUAAGCAGGAAAAAAACUUUAAUGAGUUUGAAUUCACAUUACCUUUACUUACCUUACCUUUUAUUCCUUAUUGUUAGCUACCCAGCCCUUAUUUAUUCAGCCCUAUUUAUUACAGACAUUGGUAAGUAACUACCAAUUUUUUUUAAAAAAGGUGAAUAGAAAUCAGAGACUGAAUAUGAAAGCUGCUGAUCUAAACUAAGUAAACCCAUCUUGGCCAUGUCCAGGACAGUCAGAAUCAUGCUAUACUGUUUUUAGGUUAUAUUUGUCUGAACAUACACAGUAUGUAUUAUAGAAAUUAUCUGGUGGUGUCAACAGAACAAUCAUGAAAUACCAUAAACCAGAACAAGUGGUCUCUUAACUAUCUUGAAACUCCAUAAAUUUUGCAGCAAUUCUCUAAAUAUAUUACUGAUAGAAAGUAUUUUACUUAAUAAAUUAUGGACCAAAAAAUUUCCUAUGAACA
rnacentral:lncRNA from 1 species